CCUACGGGAGGCAGCAGUGGGGAAUAUUGCACAAUGGGGGGAACCCUGAUGCAGCGACGCCGCGUGAGUGAAGAAGUAUUUCGGUAUGUAAAGCUCUAUCAGCAGGGAAGAAAAUGACGGUACCUGACUAAGAAGCCCCGGCUAACUACGUGCCAGCAGCCGCGGUAAUCCGUAGGGGGCAAGCGUUAUCCGGAUUUACUGGGUGUAAAGGGAGCGCAGACGGCUGUGCAAGUCUGGAGUGAAAGGCGGGGGCCCAACCCCCGGACUGCUCUGGAAACUGUAAAGCUGGAGUGCAGGAGAGGUAAGCGGAAUUCCUAGUGUAGCGGUGAAAUGCGUAGAUAUUAGGAGGAACACCAGUGGCGAAGGCGGCUUACUGGACUGCAACUGACGUUGAGGCUCGAAAGCGUGGGGAGCAAACAGGAUUAGAUACCCCUGUAGUC
rnacentral:rRNA from 1 species